UAGCGUAUAUUAAUGUUGUUGCAGUUAAAAAGCUCGUAGUUGGAUCUGAGGAUUCGAAUUGGUGGUGCAGUCAACGCUGUUACUGCUGAUUCGGCCUACCUAGUCGGUGCUCGCUCUUGGUGUUCUUAAUUGAAUGCCCUGAGUGCCCGACAUGUUUACUUUGAAAAAAUUAGAGUGCUCAAAGCAGGCCAUUAGCCGGAAUACUUCAGCAUGGAAUAAUGGAAUAGGACUUCGGUUCUAUUUUGUUGGUUUUCGGAACCCGAGGUAAUGAUUAAGAGAGACAGACGGGGGCAUUCGUACUGCGGUGUU
rnacentral:rRNA from 1 species